ACUUAAGUUAGUUCUUAGGAAGGCUGACACCCAGUCUGGCAAGCGCUGGAGAUAUCUAAGCAGGAAAAGCCUCCAAGCAUCUGGCAUUGGCAAUAUGUCCUAGGGCCCCCGCUCCAAGAUUUAGGCUGAGGAUACCAUCUGCCUGAGAGAACCCUCCUCUUGGAGUCUUGCUCCUCAAAAUGUGACUUCAGAGCCAGCAGCAUUGGCAUCCCUGGAAGCGUGGUACCAAUGCAUUCUUGGACCUCAACUCAGACCUAUUCAAUCCAACUCUCCAGUUUAGCAAGAUCCCCAGGUGAUUUUUAUGUACAUUAAAGUUUGAAAGCAAUACUCUAAAGAACCAGAAAUGCCAGACCAGGGUCCAACAGGGAAACUGAAUGCCUAAGACAUUCAUUCAUUCAUUUACCCAUUCAAUAAAUACUUAAUAAGCAUCUACUGGGUGCACAGAGUUGUGCUAGGCAUUGGGGAUAAAAUGGUGAAUGACUCAGAUUAGGUGUGCAGACUGCAGAGGAUGAGAUGAAUGUUCCCUACCUGGCCUGUUUCAGCCCACCUCCCAGAGUUGGGGGGAGGGGCUUGAGUUGGGAACAGGGGUACAUUUGACUGAAGAAUCUCUCAAGA
rnacentral:lncRNA from 10 species